ensembl:lncRNA
ACUAUUGCAGAAGGGCUGUCCUCCUUUUCAGAGCAUUGGUUUGCUAUGCUCUGCAGAGAACAAGGCGUGGGGCUGGAGCCAGGAAAUCGGUAAGAAGAACUUGGAAUGAAUAGCCUGAGGUGCAGAAAGGCGACCCAGGAUGUUGGAUUCCACUGUGAUCACAAAUGAUUGUUUAAAGGGGAAAACAAGGAGAAAAUUUGAGAAACCUGGAACAAAGUGGGAAAAAAUAAUGGAGGCGUCCUCACCAAUGCCCAGUCACAGACAGUGCUGGCCCCACAGAGAGAAUGCAGCUACCCAAGAGAACACAGAUAGAGGUGCUCAAGUUGGAAAGAGCUGCAGCAUCACUCAGUCAUUUGCAUCAGAAAGUAAAGCAGCUGUUCAAAAAUUUGCAAAGCAAAUUGGAGAGAAGCCAAGACUUUCAUAGAAAUUAGUUGAUGGGGAUUUCCUACAUGGAGACUUUUUCUUCAGCAAGUGCAUAAACUGCAGCACAGACCUGUCUGCGAUGAGCAUUAAGAGCCCUGAAAUAAAGUAUGGGGCUCAACAGGGACUCUGAACAAUGUGGACCACCCAGAAGAGGGAGUCCAGGAAGAAUGCAGACUGUUCUCUCAGCCACAAUGCUGAGGUUUAAAACGUAUUAGUUCUUUAAUGAGGAAGAACAAGAAAUUGAGGGCAAAACACUCCAAAAUCUUUAGUUAUAAAGGCUCCAUUACAGUAUGGCUUUAGUUAUUCUUUUUAAAAAAUCCUCGUGUUCUUUAUAAAGUCAUAGUGAAAUCAGUCUGGUGCUUGACAUUGAAGAAACAGUGACCCAGACUUGGACGGACCCUGCCGUCAUGGAGUUUACGAUCCAAUAGGAGAGACUGACAUUAUACAAGUAAUCACACAAAUGUCAUUGCAAGAUUUGAUAAGUGUGUAGAAGAAAAAGAAGGGUAAGGAUAAUGUCAGAGGACUUUUGGAUUUAGGAGUCAGAGACAACUUCUUUGAGAGAGCAACAGUAAUGCCAUGCCCUGAAGGAUCAGGGGGUAUUCACCAGGAGAAGAGCUGCAGUAGACAAUACCUGGAACAGCAUGCUGAGGCUUGGGGAUGGGAACUGUGGGGUGUGGUCCAGAGACUGGGAGAGGCCUAUACUUGGAGCAUCCUCAGUGAGAUGGAGAGCUGGGGUGGUGGGGACACUAUAGGAUAUAAGGGAAGAGCUGGACCCCCAAGGAUUGUGUGGGCAAUGUUAGCAUCUUCAUUUUUUCCCAAACACAGGCUAAGUCAUGGAAGGGAUUUAGGCACACAAGCGACAUAUUCCAAUUUAUAUUUUUAAUGGAUCAUCCCAAUUGCAGUGUGGAAAACGAGUCUGUGGGUCUAGAAAGGAAAAGAGAAGUCUAUCAGGGAGGCUUUCAGCCUGGCCAUCAGAGUCACGGUCAUGGCGAACACAACCAAAUACAGAGACCCCUUUGCUAAUACUAGAUCCUGAAAAGGUCAUGUCUGUCUUGGUGAGGGGGACUCCCCAUUCUACAAAAUGGCACCAAAACCACAGACGAGAUCACUGAAGUAAAGUUCCUCAAGCAAUAAAACAUUUUUUGGAUUA